rnacentral:rRNA from 1 species
CAGCAGCCGCGGUAAUACGAAGGGGGCAAGCGUUACUCGGAAUUACUGGGCGUAAAGCGUGCGUAGGCGGCUUGGUAAGUUGGAAGUGAAAGCCUAGGGCUCAACCUUAGAAUUGCUUUCAAAACUGCCUGGCUAGAGUACUAGAGAGGAUAGCGGAAUUCCUAGUGUAGAGGUGAAAUUCGUAGAUAUUAGGAGGAACACCGGAAAGCGAAAGCGGCUAUCUGGCUAGACACUGACGCUGUUGCACGAAAGCGUGGGGAGCAAACAGGAUUAGAUACCCUGGUAGUCCACGCAGUAAACGAUGAGUGCUAGAUAUUGGAAUUUAAUUUUCAGUGUCAAAGCUAACGCGUUAAGCACUCCGCCUGGGGAGUACGGUCGCAAGAUUAAAACUCAAAGGAAUUGACGGGGACUCGCACAAGCGGUGGAACAUGUGGUUUAAUUCGAUGCUACGCGAAAAACCUUACCAGGCCUUGACAUGUUGGUCAUAUCAUGAAGAGAUUCAUGAGUCAGCUCGGCUGGACCAUCACAGGUGUUGCAUGGCUGUCGUCAGCUCGUGUCGUGAGAUGUUGGGUUAAGUCCCGCAACGAGCGCAACCCUCAUCCUUAGUUACCAACAGGUUAUGCUGGGCACUCUAAGGAAACUGCCGGUGAUAAGCCGGAGGAAGGUGGGGAUGACGUCAAGUCAGCAUGGCCCUUACGGCCUGGGCUACACACGUGUUACAAUGGUGGUGACAAUUGGACGCAAUAGGGCGACCUGGAGCAAAUCCCUAAAAGCCACCUCAGUUCGGAUUGUACCCUGCAACUCGGGUACAUGAAGUCGGAAUCGCUAGUAAUCGCAGAUCAGCAUGCUGUGGUGAAUACGUUCUCGGGUCUUGUACACACUGCCCGUCAAGCCAUGGGAGUGGUCUUACCUUAAGUAGGUGUGCUUACCGUAAGGAGGCAGCCUACCACGGGAGGCGAU